rnacentral:ncRNA from 1 species
CUCCAACAACCGGACCGGAUCAGCGUGUUUUCCCCUUGGCCGACAGGUCCGGGAAACCCGUUGAACCCCGGUCGUGCUAGGGAUAGGGAAUUGCAAUUAUUUCCCUUGAACGAGGAAUUCCCAGUAAGCGCGAGUCAUUAGCUCGCGUUGAUUACGUCCCUGCCCUUUGUACACACCGCCCGUCGCUACUACCGAUUGAAUGGUUUAGUGAGGUCCUCCGAUUGGACCCGGUCCGGGCGGCGACGUCCGAGCCGGCGUCCGAGAAGACGAUCUAACUUGAUCAUUUAGAGGAAGUAAAAGUCGUAACAAGGUUUCCGUAGGUGAACCUGCGGAAGGAUCAUUA